GGUCAAGUGAAGAAGCGCAUACGGUGGAUGCCUUGGCAGUCAGAGGCGAUGAAAGACGUGGUAGCCUGCGAAAAGCUUCGGGGAGUCGGCAAACAGACUUUGAUCCGGAGAUCUCUGAAUGGGGGAACCCACCUAGGAUAACCUAGGUAUCUUGUACUGAAUCCAUAGGUGCAAGAGGCGAACCAGGGGAACUGAAACAUCUAAGUACCCUGAGGAAAAGAAAUCAACCGAGAUUCCCUUAGUAGUGGCGAGCGAACGGGGAUUAGCCCUUAAGCUUCAUUGAUUUUAGCGGAACGCUCUGGAAAGUGCGGCCAUAGUGGGUGAUAGCCCCGUACGCGAAAGGAUCUUUGAAGUGAAAUCGAGUAGGACGGAGCACGAGAAACUUUGUCUGAACAUGGGGGGACCAUCCUCCAAGGCUAAAUACUACUGACUGACCGAUAGUGAACCAGUACCGUGAGGGAAAGGCGAAAAGAACCCCGGAGAGGGGAGUGAAAUAGAACCUGAAACCGUAUGCGUACAAGCAGUGGGAGCCUACUUGUUAGGUGACUGCGUACCUUUUGUAUAAUGGGUCAGCGACUUAUAUUCAGUGGCAAGCUUAACCGUAUAGGGUAGGCGUAGCGAAAGCGAGUCUUAAUAGGGCGUUUAGUCGCUGGGUAUAGACCCGAAACCGGGCGAUCUAUCCAUGAGCAGGUUGAAGGUUAGGUAACACUGACUGGAGGACCGAACCCACUCCCGUUGAAAAGGUAGGGGAUGACUUGUGGAUCGGAGUGAAAGGCUAAUCAAGCUCGGAGAUAGCUGGUUCUCCUCGAAAGCUAUUUAGGUAGCGCCUCAUGUAUCACUCUGGGGGGUAGAGCACUGUUUCGGCUAGGGGGUCAUCCCGACUUACCAAACCGAUGCAAACUCCGAAUACCCAGAAGUGCCGAGCAUGGGAGACACACGGCGGGUGCUAACGUCCGUCGUGAAAAGGGAAACAACCCAGACCGCCAGCUAAGGUCCCAAAGUUGUGGUUAAGUGGUAAACGAUGUGGGAAGGCUUAGACAGCUAGGAGGUUGGCUUAGAAGCAGCCAUCCUUUAAAGAAAGCGUAAUAGCUCACUAGUCGAGUCGGCCUGCGCGGAAGAUGUAACGGGGCUCAAACCACACACCGAAGCUGCGGGUGUCACGUAAGUGACGCGGUAGAGGAGCGUUCUGUAAGCCUGUGAAGGUGAGUUGAGAAGCUUGCUGGAGGUAUCAGAAGUGCGAAUGCUGACAUGAGUAACGACAAUGGGUGUGAAAAACACCCACGCCGAAAGACCAAGGGUUCCUGCGCAACGUUAAUCGACGCAGGGUUAGUCGGUUCCUAAGGCGAGGCUGAAAAGCGUAGUCGAUGGGAAACAGGUUAAUAUUCCUGUACUUCUGGUUACUGCGAUGGAGGGACGGAGAAGGCUAGGCCAGCUUGGCGUUGGUUGUCCAAGUUUAAGGUGGUAGGCUGAAAUCUUAGGUAAAUCCGGGGUUUCAAGGCCGAGAGCUGAUGACGAGUCGUCUUUUAGAUGACGAAGUGGUUGAUGCCAUGCUUCCAAGAAAAGCUUCUAAGCUUCAGGUAACCAGGAACCGUACCCCAAACCGACACAGGUGGUCGGGUAGAGAAUACCAAGGCGCUUGAGAGAACUCGGGUGAAGGAACUAGGCAAAAUGGCACCGUAACUUCGGGAGAAGGUGCGC
rnacentral:rRNA from 1 species